rnacentral:tRNA from 4 species
GGAGAGGUGGCUGAGUGGUUGAAAGCGGUGGAUUGCUAAUCCGCUAUACCGGAUUUAUCCGGUAUCGAGGGUUCGAACCCCUCCCUCUCCG